rnacentral:tRNA from 1 species
GAGCAAAUAGCUCAGUGGCGAGAGCGUUCGGCUGAUAACCGAGAGGGCGGGAGUUCGACUCUCUCUUUGCUCA